UUACGGCCAUAUCAACUUGGAACAUCGGUUCUGGUACGAUCACUGAAGUUAAGCAACGUCAAGCCUGAUCAGUAUCUAGAUGGGUGACCAUUUGGAAAUAUCAGGUGCUGUAA
rnacentral:rRNA from 1 species